UACGUAGGGGGCAAGCGUUGUCCGGAUUUAUUGGGCGUAAAGAGCUCGUAGGCGGUUCCGUAAGUCGAGUGUGAAAAAUCUGGGCUCAACCCAGUGGAGCACUCGAUACUGCGGUGACUAGAGUACGGUAGAGGAGUGUGGAAUUCCUGGUGUAGCGGUGAAAUGCGCAGAUAUCAGGAGGAACACCGGUGGCGAAGGCGGGACUCUGGGCCGAUACUGACGCUGAGGAGCGAAAGCGUGGGGAGCGAACAGG
rnacentral:rRNA from 1 species